AAUGAACGCUGGCGGCGUGUCUUAAGCAUGCAAGUCGUGCGGCAAGGGUAGCAAUACCCCUAGAGCGGCGGACUGGUGAGUAACGCGUGGGUGAUCUGCCCUUGGGUUGGGGAUAGCCAUUAGAAAUAGUGGGUAAUACCGAAUACGAUGGCGCGACUGUGGUCUUGUCAUGAAAGGAGCUUCGGCGCCACCCGAGGAUGAGCCCGAGGCCCAUUAGCUAGUUGGUGAGGUAACGGCCCACCAAGGCGAUGAGUGGUUGGCGGCCUGAGAGGGUGUACGCCCACACUGGGACUGAGAUACGGCCCAGACUCCUACGGGAUGCAGCAGCUAAGGAUAUUCCUCAAUGGACGACAGUCUGACGGAGCGACGCCGCGUGGAUGACGAAGGCCGAAAGGUUGUAAAAUCCUUUUGUUGGGGAAGAAUAAGGCUGGGAGGGAAUGCCCGGCUGAUGACAUGAACCGACGAAUGAGUCCCGGCUAACUACGUGCCAGCCGCCGCGGUAA
rnacentral:rRNA from 1 species